GAUGAACGCUGGCGGCGUGCCUAAUACAUGCAAGUCGAGCGAACAGACGAGGAGCUUGCUCCUUUGACGUUAGCGGCGGACGGGUGAGUAACACGUGGAUAACCUACCUAUAAGACUGGGAUAACUUCGGGAAACCGGAGCUAAUACCGGAUAACAUGUUGAACCGCAUGGUUCAACAGUGAAAGACGGUCUUGCUGUCACUUAUAGAUGGAUCCGCGCCGCAUUAGCUAGUUGGUAAGGUAACGGCUUACCAAGGCAACGAUGCGUAGCCGACCUGAGAGGGUGAUCGGCCACACUGGAACUGAGACACGGUCCAGACUCCUACGGGAGGCAGCAGUAGGGAAUCUUCCGCAAUGGGCGAAAGCCUGACGGAGCAACGCCGCGUGAGUGAAGAAGGUCUUCGGAUCGUAAAACUCUGUUAUUAGGGAAGAACAAAUGUGUAAGUAACUAUGCACGUCUUGACAGUACCUAAUCAGAAAGCCACGGCUAACUACGUG
rnacentral:rRNA from 1 species